UUGAAGGUGAUGGAAACUGAAGUUAUUUGUUUAGCCAUAAAACAGGUAUGAGACUGCUCCAACAAUGUACGUCAAUCCUGAGUUGGAAAGGCUACCUCUAAGGUUGAAAGGACAGUUCAGUCUCCAUGUCCUGACAGGCCUUGGACUCC
rnacentral:sRNA from 1 species